rfam:Brassica napus, WGS project CCCW01000000 data, contig: 6625
GGAAUAUAAGAACCCGUCUUUUAACUUUUAACUAAAAAAGCUAAGAACCGGUUCUUAAAUAAGAGUUUUAAGAGCCGGUUCUUAAUUUUUUUAGUUAAAAGUUAGAAGACGGGUUCUUAUAUUUC